rnacentral:lncRNA from 15 species
UUAAUAUUUAAUUUAAUAUUUACUGUAUAUUUAAUAUUUGAUUUAAUAUUUAAUUUAAUAUUUAAUAUUUAAUUUAAUAUUUACUGUAUAUUUAAUAUUUACUGUAUAUUUAAUAUUUAGUGUAUAUUUAAUAUUUAGUGUAUAUUUAAUAUUUAAUUUAAUAUUUACUGUAUAUUUAAUAUUUAAUGAAUAUUUAAUAUUUACUGUAUAUUUAAUGUUUAAUAUUUACUGUAUAUUUAAUAUUUAGUGUAUAUUUAAUAUUUAAUGUAUAUUUAAUGUUUAAUAUUUACUGUAUACUUAAUAUUUAAUAUAUAUUUAAUAUUUAAUUUAAUAUUUAAUUUAAUAUUUAAUUUAAUAUUUACUGUAUAUUUAAUAUUGAAUUUAAUAUUUACUGUAUACUUAAUAUUUAGUGUAUAUUUAAUAUUUAAUUUAAUAUUUACUGUAUAUGUAAUAUUUAAUAUUUAAUGUUUAAUGAGUGAGAGUAUCAGGUGAGUUUGGGGGAACUUCGGCUCCUCUUCGGGCGACAUUUUCAGAAGUUACGGUGGCUGUUCUCUGACAUUUUGUCGGUGUGUUUCGACGGUACCGACCGAUGACCUCCAGACGGAUCCGUGAAAACAACCGAACAAAAGCGACCUUUAGUUGUCUCCGUUGAACACUCACACACUAACUUUAACUUUAGGCCCCGUUAACGGAACUUCACCAGAAGCUGAUUUUAGACUUUAACCGGACAUUUCGGUUCACUCACCGUUUGAAAACUCGACGUCAGAAGUCCAACCGGCGGCCGAACCGUCCGCUGACCGGUUCCCCGCUGAGGCUGCUGGUAGCGAGAGGUCUACCGGGAGGCUUACCGGGAGGGUUACCGGGAGGUUGGAGGGUUAUCGGCGGUAAAGAGCUGAAGGCAGACUCUAACAGAUGAUGAGGUCACCGUGUUAAAAAUAAAGGGAUGUCGUCAUCGAAGCUCCAGUCAAAUGAACUCAACAGGAUCCUUAAAGGGGCAGGACGCAGGCGCAGUGUGGGCCGACACAUAAUACACAACAUAAUACACAGAGACCCGGCUCUGCAGCAAGGUCUUCCAUACAAACAGCUUCAGAUCAGAGAAGUGAAACUUUUGGCAGAAGUGGAACCGGGACGAGAAGUUCUGAUGUUUCUGUCAGGUGAGAAUCUGAAUGCUGAGUCACUGUGAAUCAUUAAAAAUAUCAUUUUAAUCACUUUAUAUUUAUAUUUAUAUUAAUAUUUAUACCUAUAUUUAUAUUUAUAUCUAUAUCUAUAUCUAUAUUUAUAUUUAUAUUUAUAUCUAUAUCUAUAUCUAUAUUUAUAUCUAUAUUUAUAUUUAUAUUUAUAUUUAUAUUUAUAUCUAUAUUUAUAUUAAUAUUUAUAUUUAUAUCUAUAUCUAUAUCUAUAUCUAUAUUUAUAUUAAUAUUAAUAUUUAUAUCUAUAUUUAUAUUUAUAUCUAUAUGUAUAUUAAUAUUUAUAUUUAUAUUUAUAUUUAUAUUUAUAUCUAUAUUUAUAUCUAUAUUUAUAUUUAUAUCUAUAUUUAUAAUAACAUUUAUAUUUAUAUCUAUAUUUA